rnacentral:rRNA from 1 species
UCACUUUCAACAACGGAUCUCUUGGUUCUCGCAUCGAUAAAAAACGUAGCAAAGUGCGAUAAGUAAUGUGAAUUGCAAAAUUCCGGGGAUCAUCAAAUUUUUGAACGCAAAUUGCACUCUUUUCACAAAAAGUAUGCCUGUUUGAGGGUCA